rnacentral:RNase_P_RNA from 1 species
GCAGUCGGUCAUUCUGUCGCUGUUUUGAACUCAUUUAAGACAGAGGAAAGUCCGGACAACACAGAGCAUUGUACUUCCUGGCGGAAGAUACUCGUGAGGGUAUAGUAACGAAGAAGAAAAUAACCGCCCUGAACUUGUUUCGGGGUAAGGGUGAGAAGGUGAAUUAAGAACUCAUCGGUAUUGAAGGUGACUUUAAUAACUGUUCGUCUUACAAGUUGCAAUCUCAUGUAUAUCAGCAUUUAAGGGUUGCUCGUCCGAUGCUGAGGGGUAGAGAGCGAAGAUAAAUGACAGAUUAAAACAGAAUCCGGCUUACGGACCGACUGCUUUU